UUGGAGGGCAAGUCUGGUGCCAGCAGCCGCGGUAAUUCCAGCUCCAAUAGCGUAUAUUAAAGUUGCUGCAGUUAAAAAGCUCGUAGUUGAAUUUCGGGGUCAAUUUACUGGUCGUGCCUAUGGUACGUACUGGUAUUGUUGAUUCCUCUCUUCUGAGGAGCCGCGAUGUCAUUAACUUGGUGUCGCGGGGAAUCAGGACUGUUACUUUGAAAAAAUUAGAGUGUUUAAAGCAGGCUAACGCUUGAAUACAUUAGCAUGGAAUAAUGGAAUAGGACGUUUGAUUCUAUUUUGUUGGUUUCUAGGAUCGACGUAAUGAUUAAUAGGGAUAGUUGGGGGCAUUAGUAUUCAAUUGUCAGAGGUGAAAUUCUUGGAUUUAUUGAAGACUAACUACUGCGAAAGCAUUUGCCAAGGAUGUUUUCAUUAAUCAAGAACGAAAGUUAGGGGAUCGAAGACGAUCAGAUACCGUCGUAGUCUCAACCAUAAACUAUGCCGACUAGGGAUCGGAUGAUAAUUUUUUAAUGACUCAUUCGGCGCCUUACGGGAAAC
rnacentral:rRNA from 1 species